CGGCCAGCGGCCGAAUGGCGCAGACUCAGUUUCCUUCUAGUCCUUCAUGAUUUCACACCUUGUCGCCGGACGGGACUGCGUUCAUUUCGCCUAUUUUCGUUGACAAUCCCGCGGCCCGGGCCAACGCUUGGCCCCUUCCGUCGGCGCCGAACCGUUCCGUUGGCCGCUGGCCGCCCUCUCGCCCGGGUGAAUGGCCUCCGACGGCGAGUCAGCCCGUCUCGUUUAGCCUUGAAAAUGUCCGCAACUGCGGUAGAAAUUUUCGCACCUCAUCCACAUGCUCUCGUCUCUCGACCAUCAGUAGUCAGUCCUCCUCCCGCAAUGAUAAGAUAAAAUGGAAGAGUCCGAUAGGUCCGAGAGCGACCGACCGAGGGGGGCGACUUUUCCCUCAUUUCACAGUAUUCACAGCUCGCACGGCCGACGCACCGCUCGUCAAUACUUUCAUUAAUAAAAAAUAGAAAAUUUUGCAAACAAAAAAGUUCCGAAGCAAAAAAAAAAUCACUCAUUGUCACGACGGCGACGCGACAUUUAAGCGCAGCUGUGGCUUCUGAAAAGGAAAAGGAGUUGGAACCUCUUCUCCCGAGCGUAGCGAUGGUCGAGGAGCGGAGAAGAGGGAGCCACGAUGCCGCGUCCAUCUCGGACAUUGACGAGGACAACGAGACUGAGGACACCGAGAACAUACCCAUGAACGAUUGUGAGCUGGUGCCUCCGAUCAUCGUGACCGACAACGGCGGCGUCGGCGUCAAGGUGGUCGACACCGUGCUGCCCAACAACAACCACUCGGCGCGGCGCCGCCCGCGGCCCAACCAUCUGCAUAUCAACAUCAACUCCGCUUCCAGUGAUCUCGAAUCUCUGCCUUCGCACAACGUUGCUGCUAUGACUCCCAUCAGCCUCAGUCCGAGCUGGGCCAAGCCUCAUCGUUUGAUACGUACCAGGAAGGCCAGCCAGUGUUCCACCCCAGGCUACGUCACCCUGCGAAACCCGACACACAGAAUGUCGACGAGCACCUACGCCGAAGAGUUAAUCCAAGCCAUUGAAAACGAUGAUACACUCAUGGCCGACUCUCCUGCUUCCGAACAACUGCGAUUGCAAACGGUGCGAGGAAUGGCUGAAGCGAUGGAGCUGAAGCGCAACGUCAAAGCCAAACUGUGCUACAACAUUAACAUCAGAAACCAAAACUCACCUUCCGAUCCGACCAAGUGGUUCAAGUACAGAUUGAAAAAGUCUUUCCGGAAGGUUAACUGUGGCACCAGAGAGUUCCUCAGCAAUUUUGAACUCUGGGGAAGCACCAUCAAGUCCAUCGAGGGCAGAUUUGGCACUGGAGUGGCAACUUACUUUAGGUUCCUCAGGAGCUUGUUCCUCAUCAAUCUCUGCGUUUUUGCUAUGAGUUUUUGUUUCAUGGUUUUUCCGCAACUGCUAGACCGUUUCUAUGGCUGGAACAACGCUACUAACUCAGCUAAUUCUUCCAUUAUGGUCCUGGAGCCCAAAGUUUACCCUUACGAGGAAAUAAACUCGACGUUCAAUUUUGGAGAUCUUGUUACUGGAGGGGGGGUGCUUGCCGACACCGAAUUGUUUUAUGGAAGUUAUUGCAACCACAAAGUCCACAUGAAUGAGGGCGAAUAUUAUAACAUGCCAGACGCCUAUUUCUUCACCACAGCAGCUUGCUACUUAUUUACGGUCAUCGUGCUAUCUAUCAAAGUUGCCAAGUCGUACAGAAAAAAUUUCAUCGAAAUGCAGGGCGGCUUCACCAACGUGUACGCACAGCGCAUCUUCUGCGGCUGGGACUUUGGAAUCACCAACAGCGAAGCAGCCGAGCUCCGAAAGCAAACGCUCUACAAUGAACUCAGGGAAUUGUUGGACGAAGAAAGCAACGCCGAACGAAGUGGUGCCAAAACCUUGUUGCAAAGGUUCAUCGUGAUGGCCUGCAGAGUCGGCGUGACAGUUUUAGUUGGCUCUCUUUUGAUUGGUUCAGGGGUACUGGUCUGGUUUUUACUUGAGCGCCAGUAUCUUUUAUCCAGUAAGGAUCUGGGAACCAAGGAAGGCCGUCAGCAGGCAUCAAUGAUGAUGUCUCUUGUUGUUACUGGUGUGAUGUUGAUCCUGCCCAUGAUCUUUUCCCGUCUGUGUGCCAUCGAGCAAUACUCUAACCCCCGAAAUUCAGUGUUUAUCACAUUACUCAGGACGUUUGGGCUCGAGGUGGCCAUUGUUGGAGUUUUGCUUGCGUAUUGGAUGCGGAAGUCACCAGUAUCCCACAUUGUAUGUUGGGAGACGUCUCUGGGACAGGAAACAUACCGUCUCAUUUUAGUCGACUUUUUUAUUGCGCUGCUCGGAACGUCCCUUGCUGAGUUUAUCAGAGCUGUUGUUUAUCGGUACGUUUGGAAAGGAAUAGGGGCACCUGAAUUUGACAUAGCCCGAAAUACGCUCAACCUAAUUUACAAUCAAACCCUAUUCUGGGUUGGAUUUUACUACAGCCCAUUGUUAUCAGCAGUGAUAGUCAUCAAGCUAUUUAUCACUUUUUACGUUAAGCAGGCAUGUGUUUUGCAUAACUGCAAACCGCCAUCAAGAUCAUGGCGAGCUGCUCAGAUUCAAACAGUCUUCCUGGCCCUCACCUUCCUUGCAAUUAUCGGGGUUAUUUUCUCGCUGGGGUACACGAUGACACGGGUUCCAACGUCAAAAGGCUGUGGGCCAUUUCGGGACUUCGGGCACGCAUACGAAAUCAUUUUAAGAAAGUGGGACAAUAUUGACAGAGACAGCAACUGGUACAAGAUAGGAAAGUGGGUGUUCAAACCUGGCGUCGUUGCUGGCUAUAUCAUUGCGCUGUGCGUUGGUGUUUACUACAUGCGCGCCGUUGCUCAUGCAAGAGGUGUCAUGGUGGAGCUUCUGAGAAACAUGCUGGUGCUCGAGGCCGAAGACAAAAUUUUUCUGCAGAAGAACAUCAGGGAGGCCAAGUGUGGCCGUAAGUACAGAACUAUGUGUAAUCCCAGUAGACGUUAUUGAUUUUAAUUUCUGCUCGUUUGUUUCUCUGCCACUCAUAUUCGGAGAAUUUUAAAGUGUCAAAAUAGUUGGGAACCUAGUCCGUUAAAUCGUGGAAGGAUAAAGCCUUUGCCCGUCUCGUCAACUGCUUCAAAACAUCAGUCAGCCCUUUGAUCAUAAAUUGAAGCGGGUUUGAAGGGGAUUUUAGACGAAUAACCAAGGAAACCAAUUUUUAGAAGCUGGUCUACAUGAGUAAUUUGUUCUUUAUUUUUCCGUAUCUCUGAGAUCAAGACAAACCGUAAUCAAUGCGCGUUCUGAGCUUUUAGUUAGCAUUAUCUACAAAAAAGGCGGCAAAAAUAGUUUGAUUAAAGCAUGCUGCUUCACCACCUAUAGUUGUAUACACAGAAAAACAAUGCAAUCCUUUUUUUUAAAUUCCGCUCAAAAUAUAUGUUGACAAUUUUACUAUCUAGUCUCAAUACAUGAAUGAUUAAGUGAAGACAUAUUGUUUUUAUAAUAGAAAAGCUAGAUGACUGACCGAUCACAACAUGUUUUAGUAUUUAUUUAUAAUAUUAUUUAUUUCAUAAAAUAUUAGAACUAUUGUGAACAAUAAGAAUGGAAAUGCUGAGUACAUUAAAUUUUAAGCGAAUUGGUGUCUCACUUUCUGAGUUCCACAAAAUGAGCGUGUAGGCAACUUGAAUGAACAAGUUAAGGUGUUGUGCUGAAAAUGUAAAUGUGUACUCAUUCAGUUGUUUUUUGUGAUCACACUGUCAUAAUUAUAUUUAUACGAUCAUGUAAUUUAUUAUAUUAUAUUGCCACUUUGUUAUCCGAGUCUCGCACAAAUUUGUCAUUAUGUGCUACAUGAUUAAAAAAAAACCAUUGAUCAAUUUUGUUGUGAUACUUUUAAAUUGAGCAGCACAUGUCACAGUACUAGAGCUGCGAUUGUAAUCAGAACAAUAGGGCAAGCAGGUUAUGCCUAAUUUACUACAGCGAAAGAAUAAAACGAUUUUGUUUUUUGUG